UCCCUUGGGAACAAUUUUACAUAGCAACUGGUAUAAACAGGUUUAGGAACCUGCAAACGCAUUCUUGGUAGGCAUUGUGACACUCAGUGGUUAGAAGAAGCAUGCAGGGGUGCCCACUAGACAUGGGUGUUCUAGAGGCAUAACUGACUGUUUUACAGAGGUAAUGGAGAGCAUUGGACAAUCAAGGAAGUCAGUUAAGGAGGUUUUAGAGCAAUUAUUGUUGUUGAUGAUUUAUCAAUCAGACCUUCUCAGUUUUCUAGAUUACAGCUCUGUUGGGAAUGCUGUGUUUGUUAUCAAUUUGUAUUUGGCAUUGGCAUUGUGUACCAUACUUAUUAGGUGUAUGUGAAAAACAACAAAAUAAGUUGAUGAAAUAAU
rnacentral:lncRNA from 10 species